CGUCAAAUCAGCACGGCCCUUAUGUCCAGGGCUACACACGUGCUACAAUGGUCGGUACAGAGGGCAGCUACCUGGUGACAGGAUGCGAAUCUCGAAAACCGGUCUCAGUUCGGAUCGAAGUCUGCAACCCGACUUCGUGAAGUUGGAUUCGCUAGUAAUCGCGCAUCAGCCAUGGCGCGGUGAAUACGUUCCCGGGCCUU
rnacentral:rRNA from 1 species